CCUAUUUAUUUUAAACUAGUAUUUUUUGUAGGAAAAUGCUACAUUUUUCUGUCUGUGACUAAUAGCAAGAUAGGUUUAUGUCACAUGAAAGCAAUCAUAAAGUAGAGCCUGAAACCCACAUGUUAAAAAAAAAAAGUGGAAAUUCAGGAGGGAUUCAGAACAACAGAGAGCGGGCCUCCUCAUCUUUUCCUGUGUACACUGAAACUACAAAUGUCAAUGACCAUGGUCCAAAAAGAUUCUGAUAUUGAAUUUAGGAAAUCUUUAUGCACCUUAUUUUCCCCCAAUGAACUAAGAAUAUUUAUAGUGGGAAGUGUGUAUAUAUCCACACAUCUGAUUCUUUCAACCACCCCUACAGAGACUUAUUUGAUUAGACCUCAGACUGCCUCUUUGAAUUCCUUUUGCUCCACUUUCCUUGACCUACUAUGCUCCAGACACUCUCAUCUUUUUGUUCCUUGAUCUAGAAUAUUCUUGCCUAGGUUUUCAUGCUUACUGUUCCUAAUGUCCUGUGCCUCCAGAUCUUCACAUGGUUAACUCCUUUGAAUCUUUCAAAUCUACAUAUGUGUUACCUCCUUUUCUACAUAACACCUAGCAUUUGAAACUAUUUUGUUUACUUAGUGAUAAAUUAUUUUUUUCUAUUUCCCCCAUACCAGAAUACAAGCUCCAUACUUAUGGAGACCUUGACUAUCUUACUAACUGCUGAAUCUUACAAUAAGUAGGGGAGUUCCUGACUCAUAAUACAUGUAUAUAAUAAAGAUUUGCUUAUGAGUGAAUAAAUGAAUGUGUGUAUAUAUACAUAUAUAUGACAAACGAUCUGUGUUUUGCAUAGCAGCUAGAGUGUUCUUAUAUAGUUAUAACCCCCCAAAAUUAUAUCACUCUUCUGUUUGCAGAUAUGAAAGGACUUCCCAUUUGGGAUCAAUGUAGACAGUUGCACAGGUUAUGCGCUACACGACUUUGUAGGCUGUUACUAACAAUAGAGAGACCACAAUGGCCAUCACCUGCUAGAGCUGUGUAAUACCAAGAUGCUGUCCCAUUUGUUCCUAGGAUUAAAUGCAAACUGCAAUGCCUGGCUAAUAGAACUCUCAGUAUCUGGUUCCACUACUGUUUCUGUUUUGUCUUUCCUACUCUUCUCCCUUGAAAUUACUCACCAAACUUCCUGAUUUGCUAUCAAUUUCUCAAGACACCAUACUUUCUCUGAUUCACUAAGCCUUCUGAAGAGAAUAAAUUAUGCCUCUUUUUUCAUUCUGUGUUUCUUCCACACACUCUCCUCUGAUUCCUAAACUUGAAUAGGCACCUUCCUAUAUGUUCUCCUAUUUUUUCUGCUUUUCCUGUAACAUUAAUCACCUCAUUAUGAUUUUCAACAGUCUUUUCAUUUCUUCUGUAAAGCUGGGGACAUGUUUGUCAUAUUUAUUAUUGCAUCACUAGUAUCUUCCAG
rnacentral:lncRNA from 1 species